AAGUCGUAACAAGGUUUCCGUAGGUGAACCUGCGGAAGGAUCAUUACACUCAGUAGUUUUCUACUGCUCAGGGAGAGCGGAAAGUUUCCAGUUUGCUUUGGCAGCUGGCAUACAAGUACGCUCUCUGUCUGAUACCCUUGUCUUUUUGCGUACUCAAGUUUCCUCGGUGGGCUUGCCUGCCGGUUGGACAACCUUAUAACCUUUUUAAUUUUCAAUCAGCGUCUGAAUAAUUAUAAUAAUUACAA
rnacentral:misc_RNA from 1 species